rnacentral:tRNA from 1 species
GGGCCUGUAGCUCAGUGGAUAGAGCAUCUGCCUCCUAAGCAGAGGGUCGCAGGUUCGAUUCCUGCUAGGCCCA